rnacentral:rRNA from 1 species
GACGAACGCUGGCGGCGUGCUUAACACACGCAAGUCGAACGGAAAGGCCCUGCUUUUGUGGGGUGCUCGAGUGGCGAACGGGUGAGUAACACGUGAGUAACCUGCCCUUGACUUUGGGAUAACUUCAGGAAACUGGGGCUAAUACCGGAUAGGAGCUCCUGCUGCAUGGUGGGGGUUGGAAAGUUUCGGCGGUUGGGGAUGGACUCGCGGCUUAUCAGCUUGUUGGUGGGGUAGUGGCUUACCAAGGCUUUGACGGGUAGCCGGCCUGAGAGGGUGACCGGCAACAUUGGGACUGAGAUACGGCCCAGACUCCUACGGGAGGCAGCAGUGGGGAAUAUUGCACAAUGGGCGGAAGCCUGAUGCAGCAACGCCGCGUGCGGGAUGACGGCCUUCGGGUUGUAAACCGCUUUCGCCUGUGACGAAGCGUGAGUGACGGUAAUGGGUAAAGAAGCACCGGCUAACUACGUG